GGGGACGAUUGGGUUCGACGGGAAUAGGUUGAAGUCGGGAAGCGAGUCGAGGAGCCUGAAACCUCGUAAAAAACGAAAAAAUUUGAAAUGCCGAAGAACCAGAAUUAGCAUUAGCUGCUGCGUAGACGGCGGCUCGUCUCUCCUCAAGUUUUCUUGGAACCUUACUUGAGGAAUGAGGCGUCAGAAAAAGGUUCCACUUCUAAAAUCUCUUACCCGGAUUUUAGAAGUAUCAAUGGGUAAUAGGAAGUUGUGACUCGGUCCGCAAAGUCACAAUUUCCGAAAACUGAUUGCGGACUGCGCUCGGAGAAGCCGACUUCACCUAUUUUCGGACGCGGGUUCGAUUCCCGCCGUCUCCACCA
rnacentral:tmRNA from 2 species